rnacentral:rRNA from 1 species
UACGUAGGGUGCAAGCGUUAUCCGGAAUUAUUGGGCGUAAAGAGCUCGUAGGCGGUUUGUCGCGUCUGCUGUGAAAACUGGAGGCUCAACCUCCAGCCUGCAGUGGGUACGGGCAAACUAGAGUGCGGUAGGGGAGAUUGGAAUUCCUGGUGUAGCGGUGGAAUGCGCAGAUAUCAGGAGGAACACCGAUGGCGAAGGCAGCUCGCUGGGACGGUACUGACGCUGAGGCGCGAAAGCGUGGGGAGCAAACAGG